UGACAGAAGACAUCUUACAUCGGCCGUUUUGUGAGCAUCUCUGUAAGUUCAUUUACAUUAAUGUAUAUUUAACAAACGUGUUUUUCUGGAAAUAAAUGAAUUAAAAAAUAAAUGAAUUAGUUUGGCAAAUUCUCCGCUGAUUCAUUAUAGCUAUAAUGCUAUUUAAAUCAAUGUGAUAAAUGAGUCAAAUCAAAAGUAAUCUGAUUAUAUUACCUACAAUGUGUAAUGUAAGGGAUUGCGUUACUGACUACAAUUUUUGUCAUGUAAUCUAGAAUCAGUAACGGAUUACAAUUUGUAAGUAAUCUACCCAGCUCUGCCCAUCGCUACACAGAACCACUGGCUCUUAAAACCCCUUUUACUAUAAUCAAUACAACUAAUAAUACAACAUCCAUUUACACAAGAAACAAAAAACAAAAAAAACAACUAACACAGAAGUCAAGGGUCAGGUGGCCGGGAAGUGCAAAACAACAUUACAAACAACAAGAUUGUUCUACGGAGAUUUGGGCCGCCACGGAAGAGGUCCCGCCUACAAAAAUAUUUCAAAGAAAUUUGAGAGGUGUAGUCAGUUAGACACACAGAAUUACACCAAUGACAACAAAACGCAAGGCAUUAUGGAGAAAAGCCAGUGGGACCUGAAACCUGUGCGCUUUCAAAGACGCCGCCACACACAGCUGGAUGAUUUUGUCCAUAUUUAUCAAAUAUCCCAUAAUGCCCUGCUGAGAGAGUUUUCAGACUCUACCCGCAAGAAAAAAACACACCGGGUAGAAGUUGAGCGCUGGAAACAAAGAAGGCGGUCCAAGAAAGGCAUUUAUGUAUCACCACUACUAAAAGUCUUCCCCUUCAAGAAAGCCACAAAGCACAAGGUGCUGACCAAAAAAAACUGGACCACAGGCAGCAAAACAAGAAGAAAAUGUUUGCAGGCAAAACCUGACUGCAGUGGAAGGAUGUGACACAUCCUUGAUGGAAAAAAAUAUACAUACAGACACCCAGUCUGAUGAAAAUAAAGGUGAAAAGGCCAUAGUGCUGACCCCGAUAGCUGAACUUCUAACAGCAACCCCAGAGAAAAGUCUGGAAGAAGAACACUUGACUGACGUGGAAGCAUGUGCCACAUCACUGACGGAAACAACAGAAGAUAUACUGAUCCAAUCUGCUGACACUAAAGCCAAAAAGGAUGUUGGCCCUUUGCAAAAUCAACAUCACCUGGAAAUGCUAAGAGACAGGAACCUUGGUCCAUGCUGGCAUGGGAAGAACCCCACAUGGGAAGAACUGCCUCCAUGUAGACUCUCUAGAACACAGCAAGCCCCCAAAGGCAGUGCCAUUACUUCGAUUCUGCACCCCCAACAUUGGCUCAGCAGUGAUGAGAUCGAUUUUGCGUCUCACCUUCUUGCAAGGGAGUACAAUGACAUCGAUGGGUUUCAGUCAUCUCUUUUAUUUAGUGUUAUAGAAAGGGGAGGGAUUGUGGGUACUCCAACAAGGCAAUUUGUUCAAAUUUUGCACACAGGGGGAAACCACUGGGUGACAGCAAGUCAAGUCAAGUCACCUUUUGUUGCAAUUUCUAACAAUAAUAGUAUUAUGUAGUUAGGUAUUUUAUUAUAUUUGUAGUUAUAUGUUAUAUUUUAAUUUUAUUGUAUUUUAAUCGAGGUCUUCACUGGGGAUAUAUCUCUGGGGGUCAUCUGGGUGUCCUGGUCUCCGCCGUCGUUCAGGGCUGUAGACAUCAUCUCUUGGUGCUGAUCCACCAUCUGAUCGGAUACGGACUGAGAAACAGAAGUGGAAAGAAAUAGACAAAUAUUAGCGUAGAUGCCAUUCUACUUACGAUGUAAUGAGUACAUCGUGUGUUACGGGGAGUGUUCCCGGUUCCGGUUGAUCUAACUAAUGCAGCCUAACAAUCCUUUAACGGAUUUGAAUAAUAGAAGCGUAUUAGUGUGUUACGUGUAAGCCAGGCUAAAGAGAUGGGUCUUUAAUCUAGAUUUAAACUGACAGAGUGUGUCUGCCUCCCGAACAGUGUUAGAUAGAUUGUUCCAGAGUUUGGGUGCUAAAUAGGAAAAGGAUCUGCCGCCCGCAGUCGAUUUUGAUAUUCUAGGUAUUAUCAAACGGCCAGAGUUUUGAGAACGCAGUGGACGUGGAGGACUAUAAUGUGAUAAGAGCUCGCUCAAGUACUGAGGAGCUAAACCAUUCAGGGCUUUAUAAGUAAUUAACAAGAUUUUAAAAUCUAUCCGAUGCUUGAUAGGGAGCCAGUGCAGUGUUGACAGAACCGGGCUAAUAUGCUCAUAUUUCCUGGUUCUAGUAAGGACUCUAGCUGCUGCAUUUUGGACCAAUUGUAGUUUGUUGAUCAAGCGUACAGAACAACCACCCAAUAAAGCAUUACAAUAGUCUAACCUUGAGGUCAUAAACGCAUGAAUUAGUAUUUCUGCAUUUGACGUUGAGAGCAUAGAUCGCAAUUUAGAUAUGUUUUUGAGAUGAAAAAACGCAGUUUUACAGAUGCUAGAAACAUGGCUUUCAAAUGACAGAUUGCUAUCAAACAGCACACCUAGGUUCCUGACUGAUGAAGAAGAAUUAACAGAGCAUCCAUCAAGUGUUAGAUAAUGUUCUAGGUUAUUACAUGUGGGCUUUUUAGGUCCGAUAAUUAACACCUCUGUUUUUUCAGAAUUUAGCAGUAAAAAAUUACUUGUCAUCCAAUUUUUUAUAUCGACUAUGCAUUCCGUUAGUUUCUCAAUUUGGUGUGUUUCACCGGGCCGCGAAGAAAUAUAGAGCUGAGUAUCAUCAGCAUAACAGUGAAAGCUAACACCAUGUCUCCUGAUAAUAUCUCCCAAGGGUAACAUAUAAAGUGUGAAAAGUAACGGCUUUAGUACUGAGCCCUGAGAUACUCCGUACUGCACUUGUGAUCGAUAUGAUACCUCUUCAUUCACUGCUACGAACUGAUGGCGGUCAGAUAACUACGAUUUGAACCACGCUAAGGCACUUCCACUAAUGCCAACAAAGUUUUCUAGUCUAUUCAAAAGAAUGUUGUGAUCGAUAGUGUCGAACGCAGCGCUAA